rnacentral:lncRNA from 1 species
CCAAAGCUAAAGGGCCCAAAAUUUUUUAAUUUAUAAGCUUAUACAUACAGUCUACAUAACAAUUAAUCUUCUCCUCAAAACUCAAAACUAAACAGUCGGUUCAAAUUUCAAUUGCACGGUUGCAUCGAAAAUAUGCAGAACACGGAACACCGGAAAUUCAAUUGCCGAAAGCCAACGCCUAGAAGCCAACAACAACACCGAAAAUUCUCUUGCAAGUUGCAACCCAAUACCCAUCAGCCAUCAAGUAGAUCUCUAGUACGGUAGUACCGUGACUACCGUCAAACAGGUUCUGCGGCACAGCGGCAGUGUGGCUUCCGCUUCUUAAAAUCUGGUUCUGCUUCAGUGCUUCUUAAAAUUUGAUUCUACUUCUCUUGCUGCGCUCGAUCUCUGACUCUGAGGUAUGUUCUGUAGAUUGUGUUAUGUGUAUCUGACUAUUUGUGUGUUAAUAUUUGUGUGUGAUAGGCAAAGGGUUUGUUUGAAUUUGUUUGUUAGGAAGGAGGAUAAGAAUUCAUGGGCUCCUUUUCCAUGAGUGAGAUUGAAAAAAUAGAGUGUUUGAAUAAUGAAUGUGAGAAGAAAUCAAAAAAUUGAAUGCCCCUGGUUUUGCAGUGAAUAUUGAAAUAUUGAAUGCCCCUGAUUUUGCAGGAUACCAUGAUAGGUCAAGUCAGUAUUUUGUUUAAAAAUUGACAUUUUUUAACUGGAGGCAAAAAUCAUGUAAUUAUCAGGAUAUAAGCAGAAUCAGUUUUGUUUAAAAAUCAUGUUAUUUUUUAAUUUUUUUUGGGAUUUUUGUGGGUAUAAGCAGAAUCAGUUUUGUUUAAAAAUUGACAUUUUUUAACUGGAGGCAAAAAUCAUGUCAUUAUCAGGAUAUCAUGAAUGGGAUUUUUACACCCUCAUUAUCAAUUCCUACAUAUCAAAUUUUUCAUGAGUGAGCAGAGUGUUUGAAUUCAUGGGCUCCUUUUCCAUGAGUGAGAUUGAAAAAGCAGAGCGUUUGAAUUUUGAAGAGAGAAAGAGAGUGUUCUACUUUAAUUUAAUAAAAUAAUUUUUUUGAUUUAACAGUUUUAAAUUUUUUCUGAAUAAUCUAAAAAGAUGUUUUCUGAAUAAAGAUGUUUCAAUUGUUUUUUUUUUGUUUAUUUUCUCCUAUUUUGUAAAUUGUAAUAUAUAUAACAUAUCUGUGUUAACUUUUUCUUAUUUAUUAUUUGAUUCAACAGAAAAUUUGGCUGGGAUUCUUGUUCUUUAUAAUUGGAAGUUUCAAGUGGAAGAAAAUAUACUUAAAAUCCAGGUUUUAUUGUUCUUUGUUAAUUAGUUUUAUUGUUUUUUAUUGUGUUGUGUUUAUUAUAAAAAUUAAAAAAUGCUUUGUAAGAAAUAACUUUCCGGAAAUCUCAAGAGACAAAAAAAGAAAAAAGAAGAAAAAAUUGCUCAAAGUUUAAGAGGAUCUUUGAAUAAAUAUUUUGUUAAACAAACCAAUGCUUCACUUGAAAAUUUAGAUGAAGAUUUACCAAAUGAAUAUGAACAACCAAUUCAAUUGGAAGAAUUAGUAGAAAAUGAGAAUGAUGUGAAUGAAGAAAUUGGUAAUCUAGAUGAAAAUGAAAAUAAUGAUGAACCUUUCCUUGAUGAAAAUGAAAAUAUUGAUGAACCUUGCCAUGAAAAUGAAUGUCCCGAAACAAGAUUUGAUUUGAACAUUUAUGAUCCACGAGUUUGGGAUAAUCUUGAUGUAAAAAUGAGAGAUUUACUUGUAGAAAAAGGUCCCCUAAGAGAAACUAAUCUCAAAUUCCCCAUGGACGAACACAAUAGACAUUUUUCUUUAAAUUAUUAUCUUCGCACNNNNNNNNNNNNNNNNNNNNNNNNNNNNNNNNNNNNNNNNNNNNNNNNNNNNNNNNNNNNNNNNNNNNNNNNNNNNNNNNNNNNNNNNNNNNNNNNNNNNNNNNNNNNNNNNNNNNNNNNNNNNNNNNNNNNNNNNNNNNNNNNNNNNNNNNNNNNNNNNNNNNNNNNNNNNNNNNNNNNNNNNNNNNNNNNNNNNNNNNNNNNNNNNNNNNNNNNNNNNNNNNNNNNNNNNNNNNNNNNNNNNNNNNNNNNNNNNNNNNNNNNNNNNNNNNNNNNNNNNNNNNNNNNNNNNCAUGUGGUUCUCAUUGUCUCAACUUAAUAGUUUGUAAUAUGGCCAAGUCAUGUGUUAAAGCAAAAUCUUUUUUUGGAGCAUGUCAAUGCAUAUAUAUGGUAUUCUCUAAUUCAACAAAGCGAUGAAAUGUGUUACUUGAUUACAUAGAUGGUUUGACUUUGAAAUCAUUGUCUACUACACGUUGGGAAAGUCACAUUGAAAGUGUCAAAGCAAUAAAAUCUCAAGCUUCCCAAAUCAGAGAAGUUUUAUUUAAAUUAACAGAAAUUAGUGAAGAUUCCAAAUUGAGUAGGGAUGCUCAAAGUUUAGCAUUAGGAGAGCUUUCAAGUUUUGAAUUUAUAUUAAGUUUGGUUAUUUGGCAUGACAUUUUGCAUAAGAUUAACUUAGUUAGUAAAAAGUUACAAUCUGAAGACAUGCGUCUUGUUGCUGCUGUACGACAAUUAGAAGGACUUGUUUUAUUUUUUGAAAAUUAUAGAAUAAAUGGGUUUGUUUCAGCCAUGAUUGAUGCUAAAGAAAUUUUUCUUGAUAUGGGAAUUGAGCCAGUAUUUCCAAAAAAGCGUCAAAUUUGUAGAAAAAGGCAUUUUGAUGAGGUUUCCAAUAAUGAUAGGGAACAACAAUCAGUUGAAGAAUCAUUUAGAACUGAUUAUUUUCUUGUUAUAAUGAAUAUUGCUCUUAGUGAAUUGAAGAGUAGGUUUGAACAAUUGCAUUAUUUUGAAUCAAUUUUUGGGUUCUUAUUUGAUGCUGCAAAGUUGACUUCGUUUGAUGAUAAUGAAUUGAAAAGUUCUUGUGUGAAUCUUGAAAAUGCUUUAAAACAUGGUGAUGUUUCUGAUGUUGAUGCAAGAGACUUAUUUUCAGAAUUACAAGUGUUGCAAGUGAUGUUACCAAAAGAAGCAUAUGAAACAAAUAAACCAUGGACAUCCAUUAAAAUUCUUGAGUUUGUAAAGAGUGUGGAUAUGUUUCCUAAUGUAAUGGUUGCUUAUAGGGUAUUAUUGACUAUACCUGUAACUGUGGCAUCUGCUGAAAGAAGUUUUUCUAAAUUAAAAUUAUUGAAAUCUUACUUGCGGACCACCAUGACUCAAGAUAGGCUAAAUGGAUUAGCGAUAUUAUGCAUUGAAAAGGAUAUGUUAGAAAACAUUAAAUAUGAUAAUAUAAUUGAUGAUUUUGCAUCUAAAAGUGCAACAAGAAGACAUUUUAAAUGAUGUUUUGUGGUUUAUAAUUCAUUGUUAUUUUUUGUAGGUACAUGUGAUGAUUCUUUUCUUCGAUUAAUUGUGGAGGAUGAAAAGAAGAUAGAUCAAAUCAACAAAUGCUUAUGGAGAUUCAGGAGGAAGCAUGUAGACUCAAAUAUGUAAGUUUCAUUUUUAAUGCAAUGAUUACAAUCCGGGGUACUCUUUUUCCUUCGUUUGGGGUUUUGUCCCAUUGAGUUUUUCCCAAACAAGGUUUUAAUGAGGCCCCAAAGUGUUCUUCCUUAUCUUUUGUAAAUUCGUAUAAUUUUAAUAAAAUUAAUUAGUUGAUAAUUUAUUUAUUUUUUUGUUUAAUUUGUAUAAAGGGGCACACUUGAUAAAAUUCGCCCUGGGUCUUAGAAAACCCAAGUCCGGCUCUGAUAUGUAUAAAUGAUGUAUGCCCUAUAAAGAUUCAUAGCAAAUACAUAUUAUAUAGAUUAUUACCCUAUAUAUAUAUAUAUAUAUAUAUAUAUAUAUAUAUCUUCAUGUUCAUUUCUAAAUAUAAUUAGUGUUUAAUAUAAUAGCAAUAAAAUUGUGUUUGUUAAACUUUAGGAUAAUAUGUCAUUUUUUAAUAUCAUCAAUGAAAAAGGAAUAUUUUUUGUGGAACAAAUUAUUAUAUAUCAAGUAAUUUUAUCCACUUAGAUAAUUAGAUUUUUGAUCAUUUUUAGAUGAUUGAGCCGCACAAAACAAAUUAAGAGUCAUUUAGGGAGAGCAAGAAUCGAUUUCAGGGCAACCGAAAUUGCACGCAAAAGUAAAAAAAUCGCACCAAUGAUUCCGGUUGUAUAUUGUGGUAUUUUUAAGUAGGAACCAUAUUUUUUACGGUUCCAAUUACGGUUUUGACAUAGAAAUUUCAUUCCUUGAAGAACCACACUGAUUUAGAGUUCUAAAUCUUUAAUGUUUCUCAUGUUUUUGUGUUUAUUCUAGAGGUUUUUAAGUUAUAGUAUUUAAGUAUGAUUGUAAAUUUAAUUUUAUAAUAUAUAAUUAUAAAAUUAAGAAAUUAGAAAGUUCUGUCAGUGCUUCAACCACACGUUUCGGUAACAAGUCGAUAAAUGUCACAGGGAUCAACUUCUGCAUGAAUAUGUCACAAUCAUGACUUUUGAGACCCCAAAACUUCAGCUCUUCGACUUUACAAUACCUUGCUAUAUUCGAAGAAUAUCCAUCUGGGAGCUUCAGUCCACUGAUCCAAUUACAUAUCAAUAUCAACUGUUCCCUGGUCAAAGUAUAUUCAGCUUUAGGCGUUACCGUCUUACUACCCUCCUGAUACAGCCACGGAUCUUCCCUAAUGUUCAUUUCUACCAAAUCAAGCCUCGACUUGCUGUUGUCCUUUGUUCUACCAGUGACAUCUAGGACUGUAUAAAAAAUGUUAUCAAAUACGUUCUUCUUAGUAUGCAUCGGAUCUAAACAAUGACAGAUGCAGAGUGUAGCCCAAUAAGGCAGGUCAAAGAACAUGGAUCUGUGUGUCCAGUUGUGAAUCUUGUCGUAACCAUAAGCUCGCUCUAAUCUGUGAUUCUUCCCUGGAGGUGGAAACUUCAAAUGACUAAUCAAACUCAACACUGCUGACCCAGAAAGACGGCCAGGUACUUGACGUUUCUCUGUUUUUCGAUUGAAUUGUCUACUCAUCUGUCGAUAACGAUGUUCAAUCGGUAAAAACUAUUUGGAUGUUGCAAAGAAACUUAUUUCCCCCCCAUGUUUGAGUCGCACAGCUUUAACUGACCCCAUGCACACGGGACAUGACAAGCCCCCAUGAGUCGACCAUCCACUGAUCAUUCCUAACGCCGAAAAGUCAUUUAUUGUCCAUAGUAAAGCUGUCCUCAUUUCAAAGUUCUGCUUAAGAGAUACAUCAUAAGUUUGAACCCCUAUUUCCCACAAUAUCUUCAACUCAUCAACUAACGACCUGAGGUAUACAUUGAUGUCUUUACUCGGACUCUUAUCACCCGGAAUCAGUAAAGGCAUGAACAUGUAGGGAUUUUUCAUGCACAUCGAAGGCGGGAGGUUAUACACCACAAUAAUCACCGGCCAAGUUGAGUAGGGCUUUGUGUAAGGCCCGUUAAACGGAUUAAACCCAUCCGUAGCAAGUCCAAGCCUAACAUUGCGAACCUCUUCAGCAAAUGAGGGGUGCUUGUUAUCAAAAUUUUUCUACUCAAGCCUAUCUGCCGGGUGCGUCAGUUGACCUUCGACUAUGUCUCGUGUAGAGUGCCACCUCAUAUCCUCGGCGGUAUGUGUUGACAUGAACAACCGCUGAAGCCUCGGGGCAAUGGAAAAGUAACGUAAGAUCUUUCUCGACACGUCUUUUCCCUUUUCUUGCGCUGUUCGCAGUAUCUACUUGUACCACAAAUAUCACAUGACCUCUUAUCUUUAUUGACAUCACCGUAAUACAACAUACAGUCAUUCUCACAAGCAUCACCGUAAUACAACAUACAGUCAUUCUCACAAGCAUCAAUCUUCUCAUACCCUAGAUUGAGCCUUUUGACCAUUUUCUUCACAUCAUAGUACGACUCCGGUAACUUAUUGCCUGCAGGUAAGCACUCCUUCACAAUGCUUAACAGUUCAUUAAAACCUCUCUCGCUACAGUCAUGCUUGUUCUUGAAGUGUAAAAACUUAGUCACGACAGAUAAGACGGUGUGUUUUUCGUGCCCGUCAUAUAGUGGCGUCGCUGCUUCAUGCAAUAACUCAUAGAAACCCUUAGCCCCGUCAUUCGGUUCUUGCUCGACACUACUGUCAUCCCUGUCUGUAUUCCACUGGAAGUAUGAACCAACAACUUCGACUAUCAUGUUAGUACAGUCAAAGGUUUCAUCACCUCUAGAUUCUGAUUUUGAUUCAUGUUCAUCCAACCAGGUUUCCCCAUGAUAGAUCCAUGUCGUAUAACCCUGCUUGAACCCAUAUGCAAAUAAGUUGCACAUGAAUCACUCCUUUCCUUCCACACUUCAUUCACACACCUCUUACAAGGACAUCUGAUCUCAUCGCCGCUGACUUGCUCAAACGCGAAGUUGAGAAACUGUUUAACCCCACUACGAUACUCAGAGCUAAGCCCACUCUUAUCAGUGGCUACCCUACGUUCCAUCCAACUUCGAUCAACAAACAUCUCGGACAACUGUCUGCUAUAUAUAUGGAAAGUCAGACAAACACAAUCAAGUCUCCAAGUUAAUGUAUAUGCAAGCUUAUGAGUUUCCUAACUUCAUCUCCACCUCUAAUGGGUCAGUCUUCUAUCCCAUUCCCGGAUGUGUCGCCUCACUGAUGCCAACAACUUGAACACCUCUUUAAAUUUUUCAGAAAUUUCGGCAGCACCUCCCCAUGGUCUUCAAGUACACGAAAUAGACUAACACAUCGUAAUCUAAAUAUGCACUCGAAGAACAUCAAGAGAUAUAUACUGACCGAAAAUUCAAAAAUAUAAAGACGUGCUCAAGUCGUUAACACCGACCUAAGUGAGAUCAAAAUAUACAAGAACAGUCCCAAAACGGGGACUAUUUGAGAUUCACUCAUACUAAGUGAAUCUCAAACGGGUUUUUAAGCUUCCUAAACUAUAUGAAAAUAUGCACAUAUGAAAUUGAACUCUUUCCUAGAACAAAAGGAAUACAAUCUUGAGAAUGGAUUAUGAACCACAAUAAAAGAAACAAAGACAUGGUAAUUUAUAUUGAGAAAGCAUUAUAUUCGUUUCAAAUAAAUGUAUCUCAAUAACAUAGAUGUAUCUCAACCAAAAGUACACAUGUUAUACUUUCCAAAUUGGACUGAUUUCCUUUGACAUAAAAGCUCAUCAACACAUAAAAUGACCAUGUCUAACCAUAAAACAUCAUAUAACAUAUAGAUCUACCAUCAUAUAACUGAGAAAUAUAAACUCAUCAUUUGAUUUAAAACAACCAUAGACAAUCACGUAAAUCUAACUAGGGUUUUGAGAUAAGUAAACUUUUGAACCUUGAUUUAGUGUCACCUCUUCUUCUUCUUCCAAUGUAGGUUAUAAAGCUUGAAGGCAUGAACCAAAUCUCCUCUCCUUCUCUUCCUUAAUGUUUCGGCAGCCCCCUCCCUUUUCUCUCUCAAAGUAUAUUGCUAUAUAGAUUUUUGGAACUUAAGAAGAGAAAAUGAACUAAACUUUUUGAACUCGAAAUGUUUGCUAAUUUUACAACUUUAUUUACAAUAAACCACGUUCAACUAAACACAAAACUGUCAAGUACUAAACUACCCUUACUCUUCUUUUUCAUUAUAUAUUCACUUUUUUACCAAGCGUGGGUGUUCUGGUUUGGUCUAUUUUACAAGUGAAGUUAACAUUUUUCAAAUUUUUUUUUAUAAUUCUUUAAAAUUAAAAUAUACAAGAGUAUAAGAUCUUAGAAAGAAAUAAAAGAAUUGUUUAAUUAAAAUAUAUAAUUGUAUACGAUUUUAGAACGGAAUAGAAUGGAGAAGACAAAGCACUUGUAUUUGUCUACACAUUAAAAAUAAUAAAUUUAAUGUUUGCUUUAAUUAUAUUUAAUAUUUCAUUUAUUAAAAGUAUUCCUAUUUGUAUAUAUUAUAUUAACCCUAACGACAUCCCUAUUAAGAAAAUAAGAAUACAUAAAUUUUCAUAGAGGUAAUGUACAAUCUGUUUAUAUUCUGUCUCUAAUUUCAUUUUUUUGUUCAAUAAAUCAGCAUACCAAUUACCUCCUCGCCAACAAGUUAGACUCCCACUCUCUAUUCAACAAAUCACGAAUUCUCCAAAUCAAUGAAAAAUUCGAAUAUUCAUUAAUAGCAAUAAAAAAUAAAUUAAGUGAAUCAGUGAUUUUACUUGCAAUAUUAAACAUAUAUACAUGAACUGACAUGCAUAAUACUCUAAAAAAAAGAAAGGAGAUAAAAGAAAAACUUACAAAAGAGAGAGAGAUGCAGAGAAGGUCAAUGCUCGUUGCUUACUUCCCAAAACAAGACAUACAGGUAUUAGGAAAAAAAAACUCAAAUUAAACCCUAACAUAACUAAAUUGGAACUUAUAUACAAAUGAAACCUUAAGAAGAAAAAAAGUGCAACUUACUAAUGGAAGCCAACAAUAACAAAUGUAGAACCAGAGCUGAGAGGGAACGAAAAUUGGGGGAGAUUAUAACAGUGUAUCAGGCCAAAGUAAGGGGAGGAAGAAAGGGGGAGGCCAGAUGGUGGAGGACCAACGGCGGGGACCGACGACGGCAAACGACGGCGAGAAGCGACGACGAGGACUGACGACACAGUGGUGGCGAGAGAAACAAAGGGAAGGAACAAAACGAGAGAGGGAAUGUGACGCCCCCAAAAUAGGUAUACAUCACCUAUCUUGAGUCGCCAAAUACAUGGUACAAAAUUCAAAUACAACUUAAUUAUACAACAGUCGUGUAAAAUACGACAACACAUAAUCUAAGAGUUUUAAUAAGAAUAUUGUCAUCUAGACAAUAUCCACACUCAAUGGAGUCCUCAUUACAUUUAUUGUCACACUAUUUAACACAAUAGUGAAUACUACUAAUGCUAUCAUUUAGACUGUCACUCCGUUCUCCGACUAGUCCCGGCUACGUUCUCAUUUCCUGAAGAGAACAGUGAAAGAAAGGGUGAGCUCAACUAGGCCAGUAAGAAAUAUUAUGACUAAGAUAAUGCAGAAUAAAUUAUCAUUAGUCUUCAACAAUGUUAAACUGAUAAAAUACAAUAGACAUCAAGUUUAACUGCAGCGGAAUAAGCAAUCCAUUAGAAGAGUCAAGUAGAGCAUGAUAUCUACUAUCUUCUAUGAUUUAAAAUGUUUUCAUCAAUUUUUAUCGCUGAGACUCAGCUUAAUAAAUAAACCACAUCAUCGAGUCAUCCCUGCACUACGGGCCAAGGAUAUUCAUUAAAUCAUCAAUGGUCAUGACUAUACCGAAUAAUCCCUGGUCAUAAUCAUACCAAAAACUGUCCAUCAAUGCACUACAGGCCACUGAGGACUUUUACCACAUCAUUUAUAACAUUACAGGUCAUGAUUAUAUCGAAUAAUCCCUGGUCAUAAUCAAACCAAGUACAUCUAUGCACGUAAGUCAAAGAUGACUUUCAUCACAAUAUAAGCAUGAAGAUGAUGACAAUGACAUAAUAAUUCAAUAAAGCAAGUUCAAGAAUAAAUUUUAAAGAUUUAUAAGUUAAUUUAUCUUGAAAUCAAUUACGUCCAAAUUGUCAACAUGAUACUGCUUUGUGGAGUAAAAUUCAAGAAUGCUCAGAAAAAUAUUCCAUGAAAAGAUAUCGGAUGAAGCGUAAAUAUCCAGGAUAUUCUACUAAUUUUAUGGAGUAUAGAAGCCAAAAUUUUAAUCAAAUGAGUAUCAUAGAAUAUAUGAAACUGCAAAUAGAUUUUCACCCGCCAUGCGGUAAUCCACGUAGACAGAUCAUUUUCAUAAUUUAAUAAGAAAUGAAUACGAAGGAUCAUUCACCAUGCAUCUGAUAAUCCACAUAGACAGGUUAUUCUAACAAAAUAAUAAAGAAUGGAACCAGGUCAUGCGUAAUCCGCACAGACAGGAUAUUCCAACAGAAUAAUAAAGAAUGGAAUAAUAGAAGAAUUUUACCAUAUAUGCGGUACUUCGCAUAGACAGGUUAUUCCAACAGAAUAAUAAAGAAUGGAAUAACAAAGAAUUCACCAUGCAUGCGAUAGACCACACAGACAGGUUAUUCUAACAGAAUAAUAAAGAAUGGAACCAGGUCUAGCGUAAUUCGCACAGACAGGAUAUUCCAACAGAAUAAUAAAGAAUUGAAUAACAAAGAAUUCACCAUGCAUACGACAGACCGCACAAACAGGUUAUUCCAACAGAAUAAUAAAGAAUGGAACCAGGUUUAGCGUAAUUCGCACAGACAGGAUAUUCCAAUAGAAUAAUAAAGAAUGGAAUAAUAGAAGAAUUUUACCAUAUAUGCGGUACUUCGCAUAGACAGGUUAUUCCAACAUAAUAAUAAAGAAUGGAAUAACAGAAGCUCUCUUCAUGAAUAUGAAAGAAAUAAUACUCCUUACCUUAGAAAGAAACUGGAUACUGGAGUAGAGAGGUAGCAGACUUCUCUUCUUCUUUCUCUCUAUAAUAAUUGCUCUAUAACUUUUGUGAAUUGGUGAGAAUGAAGGAAGAAUGAACUUCUAUUUAUAGAAAAAUAUAGUUUUGAUAAUUGCACGUUUUGGGGCUCAAAAUAUUACAGUACAAUACCUUCAACUUUUCAUUCAUUUUUAAUUUAGUCAUGCAAGUAUUAUCAAACUUGCACCACCUUCCCUAAUAGUAAAUAAUGUGAAUCAAUAGUUCAAUCAUGUGAAUCAAUAGUUAUAAUCAUGUGAAAAUACGAAUUACAGUAUAGUACCUCCAUCUAUACCUCCAUUUUUAACUUAGUCAUGCAAGUAUUAUCAAUCUUGCACCAACUCCCCUAAUAGUACAAGAAUGUGAAUCAAUAGUACACACAUGUGAACAAAUAGUUAUAAUCAUGUGAAUUAAUAGCAAUUAAUUGCUCAUUUAUCCGAUUAAUUACCCGACUGGUCAGUAUAACUUCCAGACAUCAAUUAAUAUCGAAAUAAAUGUCGAUUUCCACUAACACUAAUAAUUCCAACACAAUGGAACUAUCAAUUUCAUCUUUAAUCAACACGAACUUAUUCAUCAUUAAUAUUAUAACUCACAAUAUUUAACAACCAGGUCGUUCCCAGGAAAGAGGGGGCUUUCCGAUAAGGAUUUCUCCUUAUUGGCGCGCAAUUAGAUUACCAAAUCAGUCCUUGGCAGAACUUCUAGACAUUGUAAAUAUUGCAAUUUAAUAAUAUGAAUAACUUUGUCGUCUCAAUUAUUGAUUUAAUAAUAUAUCAUAUUAUGCAGAUGAUACUGUGACAAUAAUCGAAUCAAUAAUAUGAGAGAUAUGAUGCAGCAAUUACUGUAGCAAUAAUUGAGUAUAACUAAGUGACUUCUCACGUAAGCAUCAAUAAUCAAUACCGUGUGCUACUAUGCAACCACGCGUAUUACUGUACUUUUACUACCAGAUAGUUCAACAGUUUAACGGUAAAAUUUACGCCGUUAUUUUUAUAAAAAGAUAAUUAUGUUGUUUUCUAACUACGACAAUACUUCCGUUGUGGGGUCCACCAAUGAUUGUGCCGUCAUACGAAUAUUCUCUGUUAAAACAAAUAUUCCUCGACCAAUCGAAUAUUAUAUAACCACUUGCUUACUUUGCAAAAUUUGUAAAUAUUACCCACAACUAUAACAUUAUAUCAAAUCCAUACCAUAAUAUUCAAAAAUAUAUUUCGAGAAAAUUAUUCUUUAUUCAUAAAAGUUGGGGUCUUACAGGGAAAUAAAAUGGAGAGGAAAAAGAAAUUGAAUCUGACGAAUUAAAAAUAAGACCUCAUUCUCGACGGCAUGUGCCGUCGUUCACCCAUGAGUCAUUCACGACGGUGAUACCGUCGGCAUUGACAUACAUAGCUGUCACCAAUGAGUUUUCCCUCCACCGCCAAAUUUUCGCACCUUUUUUUCCUUAGUAAAGUGUUAUUAUCGACGGCACCCAUUAGCGACGACUGUCCCGUCGGCAUUAAAGUCAUUCUCGACAGUACAUAAGCGGUCGCCAAUAACCCCGUCGCCUAUGACUGUUUUUUUUUGUAGUGUAAUUUUGCAUGGUUUAAUACUUUAAGUUUGAAAUAAUGAUUGUAUUGUAUUAAUGUAUGCAUCUUUAGAAUGUGUAUGGUACUAAUUAACUUUAAGUUUUCUAAUUUGAGGAAUUAAUUAAAAAUUUAAAAUUAAUUUAUAAUUGAUUUUUAAAAUUUUAACUUUUUAUAGCGGGUAUUAUAUAUAUAUAUAUAUAUAUAUAUAUAUAUAAUAGCAAACCAAUAAUUUUUGAGAUUUAUUUGAAAUUUAAAAAUUACAACAUGUUUGAAAAGUACAAAGAAGUAUUAUAACUUUGUAACUCAAAAUAGUUUCACUCUAAAAUAAUUUCCAAAGCAACCCGCCGCACGGGUUACCAGCUAAUUCAAAACGGACUCCAUCUAAAUAACAAAAGCUGAGCUGGUUUGUCAAAUUCUACUAGUAAUAAGCAACCUUCUAGGGUCAUACCAGUCAUUUCACCGUUCCAGAAUUUCAUAAGCAUCACGUUUUAAAGCCUCCCUUCCACCGUUUAAACUUCAGAACUCAGACACAGAGAGAGAGAAAAACCAACUCUCCCAAUUCCCCGCCUUUUUUCUGAGUUUUCAAUUUUAUUCUAUUUCUAUAUAAGAUUUUUAGGGAGAGAAAGUACAUAUAUAUAUAUAUAUAGAGAGAGAGAGAGAAGGUGUAGGUGAAGAUGAAGAAGAACAAUGAGGGAGGAGGCUCUGCUUAUGCUUGUGAUGCGGCUUGUGCUUAUGUGCUGAUCACGAUAUUCCUGGUGAUUGCGUUCAUCUUCUCCGGCCAAUUCUUCGGUUCGUCGGCGGUCUUUUUUGGUGACAAAUCCGAGUUCAGAGUUCCGAUCGUCGAGUUGCAGACUAAGCUUCCCGAUCAUAACGAAGUCCGACCAGAUGUUUCAUCUGAUGAUUUCACUUCAUCUAUUCAAAAUCGAACCGUAAUUGUAAUCACUUUCUCUCACUCUCUCUUCUGAUUCAUCGAAUCUCCAUUCUGAAAUUAAUAAUCACUACUCAAUGCUAUAUUUAUGCUUAUCUCUAUAUAUCUCUGUUCUGAACGGGUAAAAAAUUGGUAGAUGGUAAGUAAGUGAGGGUAGGAUCAUCUGAAUUAUGAGGAAUCUCUCUCACGCACUUGUGUGUUAUGUGUGUGAGCUGUUCAUUUGUAAUUAUGCUUAAUUCUGUUUUAAAUUACAUUUUUGAAUCCUAAUGUUCAAAAUAAAGUUUUCUGUCUCUCACGCACCACUGUGUUUUUGUGUGUGAGCUGUUCAUAUGUAAUUAUGCCUAAUUCUUUACACUAUAUUAUUUGGAUCAUAAUUUGCAGAAUCAAUUCCAUAAUACAUGCUUGAGUUUCAAAAACUUAUUUAUUGAUUCCGGACUGUGAAAGUUCAUUCAAUUUGUGUGUUGCCAAUUUCUAUGAAUUUUUAUAUUUUUGUAAAAGAUGAGCUGUUCAUACGUAACUAUGCCUAAUUAUGUUUUGGAUUACUUUUUUUUUAUUGUAAUUUUAACUUUUUGAUGUUAAGUUAGUAAUAUAAUUAAAUGUUUAAGUUUCAAAAACUCAAUUCAUUGAUUCCGGAUUGUGAAAUUAAGUUCAUUCAAUUUUUUGUGUGUAAACAGUUUGUAACAAUUCUAAUUUAAAUUGUAGAGAGAAAACGAUAUACUAGAACAAGGACUCGCCCGAGCUCGAGCUUCUAUUCAAGCUGCUUCUAUAAGAAAUCUAUCGACCGUUCGCGCCAGUACUAUCUACCGUAACCCCUGUGCAUUUUAUCAG